CAAAACGACUCUCGGCAACGGAUAUGUCGGCUCUCGCAUCGAUGAAGAACGUAGCAAAAUGCGAUACUUGGUGUGCAUUGCAGAAUCCCGUGAACCAUCGAGUCUUUGAACGCAAGUUGCGCCCAAAGCCUUCUGGUUGAGGGCACGUCUGCCUGGG
rnacentral:rRNA from 1 species